UUUUUUAUAUGAUGACCAUCUUUCUCCUUCACAGAAACAAAGUUUUUAAUCACCCUGCGAGUUACUGCUGAUGUCAGGAGAAGAAAACAGAACAGAACAAAACAAAAAUCUGCCUGGAGAGAGAAGCUGUACGGCUGACUAGGCUAACUCACGAGCUCCUCAAGCCCCCUCUUAGGCUAGCUUCAAAGCACAUACGAUUCGAAUUUGAACCUCAGCGAAACUGCCAAUUAACACAUCACAAACCUUCAUGGUCGAUUGCAAAUAUUCAAAACCUAGAGUGUUAAAUCUGUGCAUACCCAGAGUCUCCUGCAUAGUUCUUUGGCAGUUCAGUGUUACAUAAUUUGGGGUGAGAAACCCAGGUUGCUGUUGGGAAUGGUAACGAUCGGAUUGGGAUCACCAACUACAUCUUCCUUUGUUGCAACUGAAAGCACAGCAAAAGUAAAAAUGAAGUACAUUUAAAACAAACAUACUAUUAGCUUACAUAAAUUUCUCUUAUUUUCAUGGUGCAGUGGUGUGGUGAUAAACAGAUAUCGGGGAUUAAGAAAUUGAUAAAUCGCUGAACAUUUUGCAGGAGAAAAGCUGAUAAAAGGCCUCUUCUUUCUGAGGCACUAUGCUAAAGAAAAAAUAUUUCACAUUUAAGCAGCAUUCUUCAGGGAUUUUAUGUCCUUUCAAGAUAAACUUAAAAUACUUUGCCUGGUUGCAUGCAUGAUGACAGAUUUUGAGAAGGGGAAAAAAAAAAUCAGCUACCAGUUACUGGGCGGCUAAACAAGUGGAAUGCGUGUGUCUUCCUGGCUUUGAGUGAUGAAUUAGUCCCACCAGACAUGGCUGUGAUACCAGACUCAUCAGGCAAGGUGUCCCAUGUCACCAAAGGCCACAUCAACUCACAUAUCUAGGAAAACCAGGAAAGGGCAUGGAAACUGAUACCAUACGGCCUGAAGAUUGUGCCACCCCAGUCGUAUCGUGCCCCAUGUCAGCUGGAAGCUCAGUGAAUCCUGACAAUCCUGUUAUGAGUUUGUGGUCUCAUUUCUUCCAUUCACGCAGGUGCUAUUUCUAAUCUUUACACCACUUUUCUCAAGUUCCCUCUUCACUCUCAGCAGAUAAUCUUGCCUUCUAUUUCACAGAGUAAAUAGGGGUUAUCACAGAAAAUGUCUGUCAACACCUAACUUCUUACCUCCAAAUCUAUUUACCUUCACACAUCCCGUCACAGAGAAUUAGAGAAAUCUCUCCCUGUUAAGAGUGUAUUGCUCUACUUGCAUCAUGAGAUCAAGACUCCCUACAGGUCUUGAUCUGUCAAUUAUAGCUUUUCUU
rnacentral:lncRNA from 1 species